rnacentral:rRNA from 1 species
GAUGAACGCUGGCGGCGUGCCUAAUACAUGCAAGUCGAGCGAACGGACGAGAAGCUUGCUGUUCUGAUGUUAGCGGCGGACGGGUGAGUAACACGUGGAUACCCUACCUAUAAGACUGGGAUAACUUCGGGAAACCGGAGCUAAUACCGGAUAAUAUUUUGAACCGCAUGGUUCAAAAGUGAAAGACGGUCUUGCUGUCACUUAUAGAUGGAUCCGCGCUGCAUUAGCUAGUUGGUAAGGUAACGGCUUACGAAGGCAACGAUGCAUAGCCGACCUCAGAGGGUGGUAGGCGACACUAGAACUGGGACGCGGUCCAGAGUCCUGCGGGAGGGAGCAGUCGGGAAUCUGACGCAGUAGUGGAAAGCCUGACGGAGCAACGCCGCGUGAGUGAUGAAGGUGUUCGGAUCGUAAAGCUCUGUUAUGGGGGAAGAACAUAUGUGUAAGUAAAUGUGCAGAUCGUGACGGUAACUAAUCAGAAAGCAACGGCUAACUACGUG